GGGGAUGUAGCUCAGUUGGUAGAGCACCUGCCUUGCACGCAGGGGGUCAGCGGUUCGAAUCCGCUCAUCUCCACCA
rnacentral:tRNA from 1 species